rnacentral:lncRNA from 1 species
UCCGAUCUGUGUGAUUCUUUCUCUCGCAAGGCUAGGCUAUGCCCGUCGCUGCCACCUGCCUCUGCGGCCACUGCCUCCCACCGCGGCUCCCUCCAACGACCCUCCACGCCCGUCGCACCAGCCAUUCUCCUUCCUUCCUCCUCCCUCCUUCCAACCAUUGCCUCCCGUUCCUCCCAAGAUGGUGCUCCGGCCGAUGGUGAGGCGACUCCGGCGCCGACGCACUAGCCCUUCUCCUACUCCUUCCUCCUUCCUCCCAACCCUACCACCCUCCUCCAUCCUUCCUCCCCUGCCCCUUAUCCCCUAUAUCCCCUCCUCCCAAUGAUGCAGGUCCGGCCGCAGGGCCUAGCCGGGGCCGACGCACUGGCCCCCCUUCUUCCUCCCUCCUCCCUCAAUCCCUCCGCCCCUCAUCCCCAUCCACAUUCACAAACUCGGAAUUUGUUAUAAGGUGUAAAUCAUACCUUAACUUAGUGCCUGAAAAUAAAGCGCAUGAGUCGAUCGAGAAAAUUCCUUCGUCCCAUAGUUAGCUUGAAAAACGAUUUUAUAUUGUGGGACGGAGGGAGUAAUUGUAUACAAUUUGACCGAGAUGAAAAUAUUAGACCAAAGCAGUAAUAUGCUCUAACAAUGUAUUUGUCAGGUGUUGUUGCACAAAUAAGUGGAGAGGACACUGUCAUGGUUGCAACUUACAGCAUUAUGCGAAUACCUUCUCCAGAAAUCACUCCUCAAAAGUGAAGAGAGAGUGACAAGUGACGAGAGUAAAUGGCAUUAUUGUUGAAGUGCAUAUGUAGAUUUUCAAGAUUUUUUUAUCAGUUCAGACUUUUUGUUAUGUUGCCUAGUGUAUAAGCUUAAUAUGAUAUCAGCGCUUAAGGUUUUGAGUUAAGUCUUGGCUUCACAAUUUAUCCAAAACCUGUUGUUGUCCCCUCUGUCUCCAUGUAUAGACUUCCUGUAUCACACGUGAAAGUGGAUAUUAAAUUGUAUAUGUUAAUU